rnacentral:rRNA from 1 species
AUUGAACGCUGGCGGCAGGCCUAACACAUGCAAGUCGAGCGGAUGAAGGGAGCUUGCUCCUGGAUUCAGCGGCGGACGGGUGAGUAAUGCCUAGGAAUCUGCCUGGUAGUGGGGGAUAACGUCCGGAAACGGGCGCUAACACCGCAUACGUCCUGAGGGAGAAAGUGGGGGAUCUUCGGACCUCACGCUAUCAGAUGAGCCUAGGUCGGAUUAGCUAGUUGGUGGGGUAAAGGCCUACCAAGGCGACGAUCCGUAACUGGUCUGAGAGGAUGAUCAGUCACACUGGAACUGAGACACGGUCCAGACUCCUACGGGAGGCAGCAGUGGGGAAUAUUGGACAAUGGGCGAAAGCCUGAUCCAGCCAUGCCGCGUGUGUGAAGAAGGUCUUCGGAUUGUAAAGCACUUUAAGUUGGGAGGAAGGGCAGUAAGUUAAUACCUUGCUGUUUUGACGUUACCAACAGAAUAAGCACCGGCUAACUUCGU